rnacentral:rRNA from 1 species
UUCGCCAUUUAAAGUGGUACGCGAGCUGGGUUUAGAACGUCGUGAGACAGUUCGGUCCCUAUCUGCCGUGGGCGCUGGAGAAUUGAGGGGGGCUGCUCCUAGUACGAGAGGACCGGAGUGGACGCAUCACUGGUGUUCGGGUUGUCAUGCCAAUGGCAUUGCCCGGUAGCUAAAUGCGGAAGAGAUAAGUGCUGAAAGCAUCUAAGCACGAAACUUGCCCCGAGAUGAGUUCUCCCUGAGACUUUAAGUCUCCUGAAGGAACGUUGAAGACGACGACGUUGAUAGGCCGGGUGUGUAAGCGCAGCGAUGCGUUGAGCUAACCGGUACUAAUGAACCGUGAGGCUUAACCUU